GCCUGGCUGGCUCAGUCGGUGGAGCGGGCGACUCUUAAUCUCAGGGUUGUGGGUUCGAGCCCCACGUUGGGUG
rnacentral:tRNA from 1 species